rnacentral:rRNA from 1 species
AUGAGUCGACCUGAUGGGAUCAACAUCCCCAACGACAAGUUCUACCUUGGAGAUGCUGGCUAUGCAUGUCAGACGGGUAUUCUGCCACCCUUCGGGAAAACCAAGUACCAUCUCAACGAGUUCUCUGGUAGGAACUAUCCUAGGACUGCACAAGAGUUGUUUAAUCUCAGACACUCCAGCCUUAGAGUAGCUGUUCAGAGGGCAUUUGGAGCUCUGAAGAAUAGGUUUAAGAUCCUGGAUCAGAAGCCAUUCCACCCAUACUCCACCCAGGUUAAGCUUGUUCUUGCUUGUUGCAUUCUACAUAAAUGGAUCCUCCAGUGGUGCUUUGAUGAACACGUGCCUGAGGAGGAAGAGGUCGAGCCUGACGAUGUUGUUAGCUCCGGCCUGAAGAAGAAGAAGAAGAAGAAGAAGAAGAAGAAGAAGAAGAAGAAGAAGAAGAAGAAGAAGAAGAAGAAGAAGAAGAAGAAGAAGAAGAAGAAGAAGAAGAAGAAGAAGAAGAAGAAGAAGAAGAAGAAGAAGAAGAAGAAGAAGAAGAAGAAGAAGAGGAGGAGGAGGAAGAGGAAGAGGAAGAGGAAGAGGAAGAGGAAGAGGAAGAGGAAGAGGAAGAUCUGGUAG